rnacentral:rRNA from 1 species
AUGGAGGUUUUCAUGAUGGCUAAUUUGAUUUAUUAUUAUGGUUGUUCUGAUGGUGUGCUUCUGCUGUUUGAACUGAAGUUGUGUAUCGCCCAUCAACCUGGUCUGUGUUUGUAUGCCACUGCCAUGACACAGCAGGCUACUUGGCAUGCUCAGCGUGUUUACGUCGGUGGACUUCCUCCAAUCGCUAAUGAACAGAUGGUUGCUCUAUUCUUCAAUCAAGUUAUGGCUGCUAUCGGGGGAAACACAUUUGGUCCAGGAACACCGACAAUCGAGCUUUGUGCACUAGAUGUUGCUGCAGUGCUAUCUGUUUGGCCAUAG